rnacentral:rRNA from 1 species
GUGGACAAUGUGUUCACUGGAGUAGAGCAUAGGGAAUGCAUGCGUCACCUUGCUGCAAAUUUUGUGAAGAGAUUCAAAGGAAAGGUGUAUACCGACAAUUUAUGGCCAGCAUCUUUGACUUGCAGUGUGAAGAAGCACAACUACCACUUGAGGCAGUUAUACACGAGCCCCAAAGUGAAGGAAUGCUUGGAAACACACCACUCCAAGUUAUGGGCCAGAAGCCAAUUCAGUGAACUGAGCAAAGUUGACUAUGUGCACAAUAAUCUAGCAGAGUCUUUCAACUCAACGAUCCGGAAA